UUUCAAUCUCAAAUCUCAUCCCCAAAUUGGAUUUCUAUAGGGUUCAUUUUCCAACUUUACUCUUUUCAAUUUUCCACGGACCAAAUAAAACCCCCAUUUUCUCAAACCCUAAGAAUUUUAAAGGGUUGAAAAGAAUUUCCAUCAAUCAUGGAGUAUUUCAAGAUUCAUCCUUAGGGUUUAAUUGAAAAUAUUUGCACAAAUUUGAGAAAUAUCAUUUCUCAUCUUAAUCAUCCUUCAGCUGAUGUUGGUAAGUUGGGUUUUACUGAGUAUUGUUUUCAUUUUAAUGAGAAUCAUGAUCAGUCAUGAACAGCCAUUGAAAGAAUCACAAGAUUUUAGAUUUAACUUCACCCUUCCGUUUAAGAAAAGUGGGAUUGCUGGUUUGUGUGUAAUUCGUCUUGCUAUAUAGAUCACAAAGAAAUUGUUUGUAUUUGUAACCUAAUCACUAGACAGUAUGUUGUUGUGCUUCCAGAAUUAAGAUAGAUUAUUGUGAUUUUCAUCAUUUUAGUUAUUGCUUCUUCGGAUUUGGUUAUGUUCCUUCCACCGGUGAGUUUAAAGUUGUAAUAGUAUAUACGUUGCACAAGUCCCAGUCUGUACAAGUCCAUAUAUACAAUCUAGGCAGUGGCAUUGGAUUGGGAAACCUUGGAAAGGUUGAUCCUGAUUUCAGCUCGUGUCAUUGGAGACACAGCAUUUUUUCGUCAAUGGAGCACUUUAGUGGCUGAAUGAUCAAUACUUUCAAUUUGGCUGUGGAAAUGUUUUGUCCACCACUUCCUUUGUCUGUCAGAGACUGAUUGGGAUUUUAACACAAUAGGAAUUCUGGAUGGGUUUUUGUUCUUUUCUGUGUUUCUAGAUGACAAAGAAGACAUGGCUAUUGGAAAAGAAUAAAGAUGAUUAUGACAUGAAAGAGAAACCAGAGGAACAUCAAUAAAUACUCCGGAGUAGAGAGUUUAGGAUUGACACAAACGGAUUAUUGGCCGAUACGAAGACUAAGGGUGUUUUAACUUAUAAUGAUAGCGAUCUCAGCAUUUGUGACACAAAAGCUUUAACCUCAAAAAGCCUUGUGGAGUUUAAGGAACACCUUAGUUUCUUUAAAAGAGUUGGGGGAAGAAGAUAUGAAGAUAAUGGAGUCGAUUGAAAUUAAGGAAAUAGAAAGCCUUGUUCAGCCUUCAGUUAUUGGAGGAUGAGAUCCCUGAAUACCCACCUAUCAACUGGUCAGUGUUUGAUACUGCAUGGUGGAGCGUUCGAGUCAACUAGUGCUUUCCGCUAGCCAUGAUUGUGACGUUUAAUCAGUCGUAAGUUCUCAGGUGAAUUUUAUUUUGAAAAUAUUUGAAGAAGCACACGUGGAAAGUCUUUUUAAUAUUAUGAAUUAAGUAUCCCCAUUCUUGCGUAGUCACUGGAUUCAUGAUUCUCAACUUUUCCAACACUUACAUCACUAAAGUUUGUCUUCAUUCAUCUGUACAAGAACUUUAGAAUCAACUUGGCUGGAUUCGCUGUAAUGAGUAAAGGUACCUUGCAUACUUCUACUGGGAUCUAAGACAAUGAUUUCGUUUGCAGGUUUUAACAAAGUACCUUACAAACUUCAUGCCUCCUUCUACAGUUGUGACUAUAAAUUCUCCAAUGGUUUUAACUUUGAUUCAGUGAAACUGUUAGAACUUGGAUCGGAAGUUGUUUCAUUUUGCAUUUUCUAUUGCUUCCAAAAGCACUAGCUUAGUUGAUCUUAUGUAGCAAAUUAGCAUAUAUGCAAUCGAAAAUAGUACAUACAAUAUAUAGAUAAUGACGUAUCAAUUGUCACUUACUGGUUUUACUUUUACAAGCUGCACUGGAUUUUACUCCACGUACGAUUUUAGGUGUUUGCAUCUCUUUUUUUAGGUGUUUUCGUUGGCAGGAUUUUCGGCGGGUGCGGUUCAUGUUAAGAUAACAGAAUGUGUAGAUACAGCAAGCUGAGUGAAUUAUCUAUUUGUGUACAUCUCAUUUACCAUCACGUAUACUGCAGUUGGCAGUCUCAGUAACUGCGAUCUUUUAUUGCCAAGGCCCCUUAGAUGCUCCUGUAUUUGUUGGUUGGGCGAUGCAGAGGAAACUGGUCUUGUUGGGGAGGUUUCCAACUCCACUAUCAAGCUAAAUCAGCUGAUGAUAGCACCUCAAUUGGUUGGAUCCUUGAGCAUAUCACAUGAAAAGAUUAAGUUGGAUGCCACGAUGAGAGCUUGGCAGUGGAGAUUGUUGGUCCUUUACUCGCUACAUCUAAGGAAGAGAAGUUGCAGAAAGGAACAAUGUAGUCCGCUGCUAUUCAAAAGGGUCAACUUAAAGCCAAUGUCUGCUAUCAACCUCAAUAUUCAGCUAAUGUUGAGGUGAAACAUUUACCGCUUGAUGUGCUGGAGCUGGCUUCACUAAGAGGAACAAUACAAAAGGCCGAAAUCCAGCUUAAUUUUCAGAAAAGGAGGGGUCAUGGAAUGUUAUCUGUGCUUCGCGCAAAUUUUGUGGUUUACAUGGUGAAGCCCUUGAUGUGGAUGCUAGGUGGAGUGGAGAUGUUAUUGCCAUUGAAAAGACUGUUUUGGAACAAGCCAAUAGUCGAUAUGAGCUCCAAGGAGAAUAUGUAUUGCCAGGACGGGAUCGUCACAAUACUGGAAAGAAGAAGAGUGGCCUGUGGGGAAGGGCUAUGGCAGGGCAUCUGGGUAGUGUAAUAUCUUCAAUUGUGAGGUGGCGGAUGAGACUAGAAAUUCCUGGAGUGAGAUGCUUCCACUUGCACGACUUCUUUCUCGAAGUAAAGACCCUGCUGUUCUCUCGAUCAAAGGUAGUAAUUGGCUUACUUUUGAAUGUGCAGACAUUAUCUUGUCGAGUAAUUGUAGUUUUCCUACUUGUGCAUUGUGCUAUAUACACAAAUUGGACAAUGAGAUUUGGACGUCAUUGGCACUUCUUGGCUAUUUAGAAGGAAGUAUUAACUAGUUUUGUAUAGUUAGCAUUCUUUGGGACUUCUUCAAUGCAUCCUUUUCUCAUCCCCCAGUGAAGCAUAUUCUGCUACUGGUGUAUCCUUUAAGGAACCGUUCCCAUAGUGAUUUUACACAAAGAUUGAAGUCUCCUAUUUCUGGUUCAGUUACAAAACGAUGUAAUAUUUUAUAAUAUUCGGUUUCUUAGUUUCUCA